GGAAGUGAGACACGUGGUCAUAUUUGCGCAAGCCGAAAAUAAAUCUUAUACAAAGAUUCUGCAGACGCUCAAGUUUAUUGAGUUGAUCCUCCGUAAGGUCUAUAUAGCAAAUGUCGGCAUAAUCUAAUAUGGGCAAUAAGAGAGAUUCAGCAAGCGCAAUACUAGUUGCGUAAGGCAAGAGAUUACGAAGCCUACGGAGAGAUGCGGCCGCAGCGAACAUUUUCCUGCUAACCUCACUCACCUGAACUUCAACAACAACAAGUAAGGUUGAACUGACUUUAAAUUACAUUAUAAAUAAGAACACCAUUAUCCAUACUAAUAUUAUAAAUGGGAAAGUGUGUGUGUCUGUUUGUCUGUCUUUCACGGCAAAACGGAGUGACGAAUUGACGUGAAUUGUGAAGUGGAGAUAGUAGAAGGGAUGGGCAACAUAGGCAACAUUUUCUCUCUUUCUAACCCCCCACUGCCCUAAAAUGGGGGUGGAAAUUUGUAUGGAGCAUUUCGCAACUUUCGAAAUUAACGCGAGCGAAGCCGCGGACAAAAGCUAGUAUAUUAUAUAUGGAUUGGAUUUGACCUGAUUCUUAACCUGCCUUCAUUAUUAGUUACUAUUUAUUAGAAUACGAAUUCGACUGUAGGUACGUAACCUACAAGUCGAUAUUUUUGUUAUGUCUAGCACCGGCACCGAUUAAGUAAAUAGGUACCUAUAUGUCGUUCCCGCUAUAAAUACCAUCAUCAGCUACAAGUUAGUCAUUUUAAAUUCUGUAUCACAUACAUUGUGUUUCAUUGUAGUUGAGUGCUUAAGUAAAUCUAAUAGAUUUUUGAUUUACGAGUAGGUAUAAUAUUUUCCCCCUCACUAGCUCGGAAACACGUGUUUUGUCCUUUAAUACCAGCAGGUCCCAGAGAAUCUGAGUGCGAGAAACAAAGAAGAAUGAUGAGCCCAUCACGGUUCCUGAUGUGGUGUCUACUGGUGACCGUCAUGCUGGUGACUGUCCGCGGAUGCAAGACUGUAGGACAAGCCUGUAAUGUUUCCAAGACAGAGUGUUGCGAAGGACUGAUUUGUAAACUGUCAAGUAUUAUCACUGCUCAGUGUAUGUAAUAUUAUAUUAUUAAAAUGUG